rnacentral:lncRNA from 12 species
CUCAGUGCUGAGAGAACGAGCUUCUUUCUGAGCAGCUUCUAGUUCAGCCUGGCUUUCCUCAUACUUCUGUUUCCAGUCUGCUAGGACCUGGAGAAAAGGUUGGCAGCCAAUGCAUUUGCCCUCUCCCCAUCAAUCAUGAGGUCCUCUACUUCACUCUGCAGCCUCUGUUUGGUCUUUUCCAGAGAGGCACACUUGGAGUUCACUGCCUCAAUGGAUUCUUCAGCAUCCUGCAGACGCUGUGCCAGCUUUGUCUUAGCUUUAGUCAGAGUGUUGACUUUGUCCUCCUCUGCCUGAAGGUCAUCAAGAGUCUGCUGGUGUGCCUCUUGGAGGGCUUUCUUCUCUUUGGUCAGCUUGGCAAUGCUCUCAUCUUGAGAGGCCAUCUCCUCUGUCAGGUUUUUCACCUAAAUGGAAACAUUAAUUACUGGUUUCAUAAUCAAGAGUCUGAAUCACAAUCUGCAGUGUAUAUGAAGAGUUUGGUUCCAAAACGCUAUAAAUCCAUUUUGAUUAAUUUGAGUAAAAAUGUGUUUUCUUUACCAAGAAAGUGGCAAGAUGAGAACCUAUAUUUUCUGUUUCAGACUUUCAUAUAGCAUCUUUAGGUUAUAAUAACAUUAAAAAUUCUAAUCCAGAUUUUGAUUUUCAAAUAUUUAUUAUAAAAUGUUGUUAUUGUUUUUUAAAUGUAAUAAAUCCAUUGAAUCAAAUGGGUUAUUGGGUUAUUGAAAGUUAUUUACACAACAUAGUAAGUUGAUCCAUAUAUGACAGCCUCUGAAUUUUGGUCAGUACUAAUCUUAUAUACAGGCACUGGACUAAAAAUACAUUCACCGGUCAUCGCUCUCAAAAUGAAUUCAACGGGUCAUCUUGUUUGCUAUAAAUUAAUUAUAACAAUAAAAUAAAAUUUCUUCAUGAACAAGAAUAUGAUCAGCAAUAUCACAUUAGACCACAGAAAUUCCAAAAUAACAUUUCCCUUACAUUCAGCUUCCGAAAGUGCAUUUGUCUUUGCUGUGUUACAUUCAUUUAGUUGACUAGUGCUAUACGCUGUAUUAACAAAAACAUAAAUGGCAUUAAUAAAAACACUUACACUGACAAGCUAGGCAAUAUUGCGUUCAUAAUCGAAUGAGAUUCAUCUAAUGAACUCAAUAUUUU